AACCGAAGCCGCAGAUAUUUUUAGAUUUCCUAUAUGGGUGAUAGCUUCAGCCUCUCUUCUCCAAGUCCUCUUUUUUUUUUUUCUCUCUCUCGUUUCAAACUUCUCUUCUACUGGAUUCUUCUUCUCUUUUUCUUCUUCCAUUUCUCUAUUUUGAUUUUCUUCAUAUCUGGGUUUUCCUUGGUUCAUUAACCCUAAUCUAAGCUCUACAAAAAUAAGUUGUAUCCUGUCGAUUCGUGGCUAAUGUUACAAGUUUUCAAAGAUGGUUAUGGUGGACAGUAGACGAUGUCAGAAGAGGCCGUAACAAACUCUUCAACGGUGACAAGAAGACAUGAAUAUAUAUACAUAGUCGGCUUCUAGGGUCUCACCGGGAGAAGAGGCUGCUGAUGAAUGAGAUUAUGACAGGUUUAGCGGAUACACGGUCAGUGGUGUCAAAAAUGACAUGCGCUUUAUUGGAAGAUAGUGAGUGGUAUCGGACUAAUUAUAGCAUGUUAGAUCAUCUCCAGUGGGGUUGCAACCAAAGAACUAACUUUGUUACCUCCCCUUGCAAUUUAUAGAAGGGUGCCUACCAUUGCAACACAACUCAGUUAUUUGGAUGUACAUAUAAAAGGGAGGCAGAGGGAUACUGCCCAAUUUUAAGUUAUAGUGAUGACCUCCCCCAAUGGGCUCGUUAUUUUUCACAGGCUAGCAAAGGUUUGUUCUUCUUUUGCGUUCAAUUUUUUUUUUAAAUUUUUCUCUGUUAUGUUUUUUAGGCAUUUGUAUACUUAUUAAAUAUCUUGACAUUCUAACCUGUUUAGGUUGCUUAAAUAUUGUUAUUUGUAGCGUGGUAUUUGGAAAAUAUAUAACAUGUAUUUGAUAGAAAGGGUUACCUCUUCUACAACAAUUACAGUCUGUUCAUUUUGUGAUCUCUUAGGUAUUUUAUCAUGGAUAUUAAGCAUUCAUUGCUUGUUUGUCCUGUUCAAAUAUUGUUUGUAGUUAUUAUACGGUAUCAAUAUGUUGUUUUUAUUACUUACAAUCUUAUAUGCAUUAAUGUUCUAGAAUU